GGAAACGUGGAUUAAUACCCCAUAGUAUGUAGUUCUCUCCUGAGAAUUACAUUAAACAUUUAUGGCUUAAAGAUGAGUAUGCGUCCUAUUAGUUAGUUGGUAAGGUAACGGCUUACCAAGACCGCGAUAGGUAGGGGUCCUGAGAGGGAGAUCCCCCACACUGGUACUGAGACACGGACCAGACUCCUACGGGAGGCAGCAGUGAGGAAUAUUGGACAAUGGAGGCAACUCUGAUCCAGCCAUGCCGCGUGCAGGAAGACGGCCCUAUGGGUUGUAAACUGCUUUUAUACGGGAAGAACCACAUCUACGUGUAGAUGCUUGACGGUACCGUAUGAAUAAGGACCGGCUAACUCCGUGCCAGCAGCCGCGGUAAUACGGAGGGUCCAAGCGUUAUCCGGAAUCAUUGGGUUUAAAGGGUCCGUAGGCGGAGUAAUAAGUCAGUGGUGAAAGUCUGCAGCUUAACUGUAGAAUUGCCAUUGAUACUGUUAUUCUUGAAUUAUUAUGAAGUGGUUGGAAUGAGUAGUGUAGCGGUGAAAUGCAUAGAUAUUACUCAGAACACCUAUUGCGAAGGCAGAUCACUAAUAAUAUAUUGACGCUGAGGGACGAAAGCGUAGGUAGCGAACAGGAUUAGAUACCCUGGUAGUCUACGCCGUAAACGAUGGUUACUAGCUGUCCGGCCUAAUUGAGGGCUGGGUGGUUAAGCGAAAGUGAUAAGUAACCCACCUGGGGAGUACGUUCGCAAGAAUGAAACUCAAAGGAAUUGACGGGGGCCCGCACAAGCGGUGGAGCAUGUGGUUUAAUUCGAUGAUACGCGAGGAACCUUACCAGGGCUUAAAUGCAGUCUGACAGGGGUGGAAACACCCUUUUCUUCGGACAGAUUGCAAGGUGCUGCAUGGUUGUCGUCAGCUCGUGCCGUGAGGUGUCAGGUUAAGUCCUAUAACGAGCGCAACCCCUGUGGUUAGUUGCCAGCGAGUCAUGUCGGGAACUCUAGCCAGACUGCCGGUGCAAACCGCGAGGAAGGUGGGGAUGACGUCAAAUCAUCACGGCCCUUACGUCCUGGGCCACACACGUGCUACAAUGGUAGGGACAGAGGGCAGCUACCCCGCGAGGGGAUGCGAAUCUUCAAACCCUAUCACAGUUCGGAUCGCAGUCUGCAACUCGACUGCGUGAAGCUGGAAUCGCUAGU
rnacentral:rRNA from 1 species